rnacentral:misc_RNA from 1 species
CGAUUACGAACCUGUAGGAGCUGCCGCAGGCUGCGAUCUUUUGACUUUCAAGAUCAAAAGAUCGCAGCCUGCGGCAGCUCCUACAUCGGUU